GGCUCAGAACGAACGCUGGCUGCGCGCUUAAUACAUGCAAGUCGAGCGAGAACCAGGGCUUCGGCCCUGGGGACAGCGGCGAACGGGUGAGUAACACGUGGGUAAUCAACCCCCGACACCGGGAUAGCCCAGGGAAACUUGGAUUAAUACCGGAUGCUCCGUCUGGCCCUCGGGCCGGCCGGAAAAGGGUAGCUUCGGCCUCCGGUCGGGGACGAGCCCGCGGCGGAUUAGCUUGUUGGUGAGGUAAAGGCUCACCAAGGCGACGAUCCGUAGCUGGUCUGAGAGGACGAUCAGCCACACUGGGACUGAGACACGGCCCAGACUCCUACGGGAGGCAGCAGUGGG
rnacentral:rRNA from 1 species